rnacentral:ncRNA from 2 species
GCUUGAUAAGUCUUUCUUGGUGCCAGCACUGCUGGCUAAUUGGGAAGUCGGUGAGAAUCCGACACUGCCCCCGCAACGGUAACGCGCGCCCCAGAUUCCUCUGAGCGCUCGAAGUCCGAUACCAGCCAUAAAGACUUUUUACUU